GCAUCUGCAGUUCACUCCAUGCAAGAUGAGGUGCUCCUCCUCGUGGCCGAACAGUUCAGAAAGAAGGAUUGUGCCUCAUAGUAUGCAGGUGUUGUGGUUGUGCAGCUCGGAAAUGCUCGCGAUGCCGUUCAGAGCUUGUGCCCGUGCAGUACGACGAGCGCCAUCUCUUCCCAUUGGUCGGUGGACCAUGGCCGUGCAGCUCGGAGAUGCUCGCCAUGUGGUUCCGGACUUGUGUGUGUGCAGUCGGGAGAGCGCCAUCUCCAUCUCUUCCCGUGUGGUCCGUCAACCAUGGUUGUGUAGCUCGCAGACGCUCGUCGUCCGGUUCAGGGCUCAUGCGUGUGCGGUCCUGCGAGGGCCAUCUCUUCCCUUGCUCGUAAGGUUCUUUUGAUUCUGUUCUGCUAAUUGAGAUUUUGUUUUUUUGGUUGGUUUUGCUGGUGACAGGGGUUCUGGAGGUACCUUCUGAAGAAGAACCUUGAUGCCCGGUGGCUGCAAGGGUUCCGUUGCGCCGUGUUUGGGAUCGGCGAUUCAGGCUACAAGAGGUACAAUAUUGCUCUUCUGACUACGAUUUCUUAGCUUGCUGCUGCGCUGUGUGCUGUGUUUUGUUGAUACAAUGAUGCUCAUUGAUUGGUUGUGCAUGCACGUACUGCAGGUUGCUACAAAGAAG
rnacentral:lncRNA from 1 species